rnacentral:tRNA from 1 species
GAGGGUAUAGCUCAGUGGUAGAGUGCAUGCCUAGCAUGCAUGAGGUCCUGGGUUCAAUCCCCAGGACCCCCA